AAGUCGAACGUGAAGAUGCAGCAAUGUAUCUGAAAGUGGCGGACGGGUGAGUAACACGUAGGUGACCUGCCUCGAAGAGGGGGAUAACCAUGGAAACGAUGGCUAAUACCGCAUGGUCUUGUUUAAGUGGGAACUUAGGCAAGUAAAACCUUGGUGCUUCGAGAGGGGCCUGCGUCCGAUUAGCUAGUUGGUAGGGUAACGGCCUACCAAGGCGAUGAUCGGUAGCUGGUCUGAGAGGACGAUCAGCCACACGGGAACUGAGAAACGGUCCCGACUCCUACGGGGGGCAGCAGUGAGGAAUAUUGCACAAUGGGCGAAAGCCUGAUGCAGCAACGCCGCGUGGAGGAUGAAGGUUUUCGGAUUGUAAACUCCUUUUAUGGGGGAAAAGAACGGAUGGUACCCCGUGAAUAAGUCACGGCUAACUACGUGCCAGCAGCCGCGGUAAUACGUAGGUGACGAGCGUUAUCCGGAUUUAUUGGGCGUAAAGCGUACGCAGGCGGUUUUUUAAGUCUGACGUGAAACCUCCCGGCUUAACUGGGAGAAUGCGUUGGAAACUGGAGAACUUGAGGCAAUGAGAGGUAUGCAGAAUUCCCGGUGUAGUGGUGGAAUGCGUAGAUAUCGGGGGGAAUACCAGUGGCGAAAGCGGCAUACCAGCAUUGUACUGACGCUCAUGUACGAAAGCGUGGGUAGCAAACGGGAUUAGAUACCCUGGUAGUCC
rnacentral:rRNA from 1 species